AUUGAACGCUGGCGGCAGGCCUAACACAUGCAAGUCGAGCGGUAGAGAGAAGCUUGCUUCUCUUGAGAGCGGCGGACGGGUGAGUAAUGCCUAGGAAUCUGCCUGGUAGUGGGGGGAUAACGUUCGGAAACGAACGCUAAUACCGCAUACGUCCUACGGGAGAAAGCAGGGGACCUUCGGGCCUUGCGCUAUCAGAUGAGCCUAGGUCGGAUUAGCUAGUUGGUGAGGUAAUGGCUCACCAAGGCGACGAUCCGUAACUGGUCUGAGAGGAUGAUCAGUCACACUGGAACUGAGACACGGUCCAGACUCCUACGGGAGGCAGCAGUGGGGAAUAUUGGACAAAUGGGCGAAAGCCUGAUCCAGCCAUGCCGCGUGUGUGAAGAAGGUCUUCGGAUUGUAAAGCACUUUAAGUUGGGAGGAAGGGCAGUUACCUAAU
rnacentral:rRNA from 1 species